rnacentral:rRNA from 1 species
AACGAACGCUGGCGGCAGGCUUAACACAUGCAAGUCGAACGCCCCGCAAGGGGAGUGGCAGACGGGUGAGUAACGCGUGGGAACAUACCCUUUCCUGCGGAAUAGCUCUGGGAAACUGGAAUUAAUACCGCAUACGCCCUACGGGGGAAAGAUUUAUCGGGGAAGGAUUGGCCCGCGUUGGAUUAGCUAGUUGGUGGGGUAAAGGCCUACCAAGGCGACGAUCCAUAGCUGGUCUGAGAGGAUGAUCAGCCACAUUGGGACUGAGACACGGCCCAGACUCCUACGGGAGGCAGCAGUGGGGAAUAUUGGACAAUGGGCGCAAGCCUGAUCCAGCCAUGCCGCGUGAGUGAUGAAGGCCUUAGGGUUGUAAAGUUCUUUUACCGAUGAAGAUAAUGACGGUAGUCGGAGAAGAAGCCCCGGCUAACUUCGUGCCAGCCGCCGCCGUAAAAC